GGCUGGUCCAAGUGCAGUGGUGUUUACAACUAGUAGAUCACAACCAGUUACAUAUCUCUUUGUUCCUUCUCCAUUCCCACUGCUUCACUUGACUAGCCUUUA
ensembl:misc_RNA Y_RNA Y RNA